rnacentral:tRNA from 1 species
UCCCAGCUGGCUCAGUGGUAAAGAAUCUGCAUGCCAAUGCAGAAGGAGCAGGUUCGAUCCCUCCGUUAGGAA